GACGAACGCUGGCGGCGUGCUUAACACAUGCAAGUCGUACGGUAAGGCCCUUUCGGGGGUACACGAGUGGCGAACGGGUGAGUAACACGUGAGUAACCUGCCCACAACUUUGGGAUAACGCUAGGAAACUGGUGCUAAUACUGGAUAUGUGCUCCUGCUGCAUGGUGGGGGUUGGAAAGCUCCGGCGGUUGUGGAUGGACUCGCGGCCUAUCAGCUUGUUGGUGGGGUAGUGGCCUACCAAGGCGGCGACGGGUAGCCGGCCUGAGAGGGUGACCGGCCACAUUGGGACUGAGAUACGGCCCAGACUCCGACGGGAGGCAGCAGUGGGGAAUAUUGCACAAUGGGCGCAAGCCGGAUGCAGCAACGCCGCGUGCGGGAGGACGGCCUUCGGGUUGUAAACCGCUUUCAGCAGGGACGAAGCUUUUUGUGACGGUACCUGCAGAAGAAGCACCGGCUAACUACGUG
rnacentral:rRNA from 1 species